GGAAUAGGACCCUGUCCUCCUAUUUUCAGUUGGUUUUGGCAGCGCGAGGACUAGGGUAAUGAUUAAUAGGGAUAGUUGGGGGCAUUAAUAUUUAAUUGUCAGAGGUGAAAUUCUUGGAUUUAUGAAAGAUUAACUUCUGCGAAAGCAUCUGCCAAGGAUGUUUUCAUUAAUCAAGAACGAAAGUUAGGGGAUCGAANACGAUCAGAUACCGUCGUAGUCUUAACCAUAAACGAUGCCGACCAGCGAUUAGGAGACGUUGAAUACAAAACACCACCAUCGGCGCGGUCGUCCUUGGCGUCGGUCUUUCGGGGCCGGGGCGGGGGCGGCUUAGCCCGGUGGCACCGGUGAAUGACUCCCUA
rnacentral:rRNA from 1 species